UGUCUAGAUGGCGUAGUGGUCAGCACAUCUGCUUACUAAGCAGGAGACCCUGGUUCGAAUCCGGGUCCAACAA